rnacentral:rRNA from 1 species
UACGUAGGGUGCAAGCGUUGUCCGGAAUUAUUGGGCGUAAAGAGCUCGUAGGCGGUCUGUCGCGUCGGCUGUGAAAUCCCGAGGCUCAACCUCGGGUCUGCAGUCGAUACGGGCAAACUAGAGUAUUGCAGGGGAGACUGGAAUUCCUGGUGUAGCGGUGAAAUGCGCAGAUAUCUGGAGGAACACCGGUGGCGAAGGCGGCAUCCUGGACCAAUAUUGACGCUGAGGAGCGAAAGCCAGGGGAGCAAACGGG